GACGAACGCUGGCGGCGUGCUUAACACAUGCAAGUCGAACGAUGAACCCCACUUGUGGGGGGAUUAGUGGCGAACGGGUGAGUAACAAGUGAGUAACUUGCCCUUGACUCUGGGAUAAGCAUGGGAAACAGGGUCUAAUACUGGAUACGAACUUAUGGCGCAUGCCAUGUUGGGGGUAAGCUUUUGUGGUUUUGGAUGGACUCGCGGCCUAUCAGCUUGUUGGUGGGGUAAUGGCCUACCAAGGCGACGACGGGUAGCCGGCCUGAGAGGGUGACCGGCCGCACGGGGACUGAGACACGGCCAGAACUCCGACGGGAGGCAGCAGGGGGGAAUAUUGCGCAAUGGGCGAGAGCCUGAGGCAGCGACGCCGCGUGAGGGAUCAAGGCGUUCGAGUUGUAAACCUCUGGCAGUAGGGAUGAAGCCUGCUUUUGGGUUGGUGACGGUACUUGCAGAAGAAGCGCCGGCUAACUACGUG
rnacentral:rRNA from 1 species